rnacentral:rRNA from 1 species
UACGGAGGGUGCAAGCGUUAUCCGGAUUUACUGGGUUUAAAGGGUGUGUAGGCGGAUAUUUAAGUCAGAGGUGAAAUCUCCGGGCUCAACCCGGAAACUGCCUUUGAUACUAUUUAUCUUGAAUUUCGUUGAGGUUGGCGGAAUAUAUCAUGUAGCGGUGAAAUGCAUAGAUAUGAUAUAGAACACCGAUUGCGUAGGCAGCUGGCUGAACGACGAUUGACGCUGAGGCACGAAAGCGUGGGUAGCGAAC